rnacentral:lncRNA from 1 species
GUUUACAUAGUCAUUCAGUAUUAACUCCAUAUCCCCCCUCUUGGCAGUUUCAGUGGUUGCCUUUUGUCAUUCCUGAGAUUUUAUCAUUGUUGUUCAUGAUGUCAACUGCCUUGUCGCAAUCGCCAUGAUUUGUUUUUAUGCCAGCUAGAUUACUAUGAUCAAUGUAGUGCUCUAAAAUUUGUGUGGAAAGUGAUGCCAUCAUAUAGUCUCGUGCCAAGGUAAUUUCUUUCUACUGGGUCUUUCUAAAAAUUCAGUUGUGUAAAAUUUUGUGUUACUUAUUGGUAUCAAGAAGUUUAAUGCACCUCAGUUAAAAGAGGAAUUGACAAAAACAUGCUGCUCUAGGAUCAUGUAUUGAGCGAAACUCUGCUUCAAAACAUAAGCUCAUGUUCACUUGUUAUUCAGUUGUAUAUUAUCGCUAAUUGUUUUUUUGUUCAUCUAGAAUUUUGAAGUAAAAUCUAAACUUGAAAGCGAGCAAUCUCUCUGAAGCUAACAUCAGAAAUGUUUUAUGAGAUUUGUAAGGUGCUACGCUAUGUGCGUUUUGCGUAUGGUUCGUAUUGUUAGCACUGUUAGCACGGGCUAAUGUGUAUUCACUUUAUUGCCUUUAAGAUUUGUUGUAUCGUUAGCACGAGCACUUUACUUUGUGGAGAAAAGGCUCUGAGACUAAGCACCAAGGGGUUGGGAGACUUUUUUGUUAUUGGAAUUUGCAUCAAUCAAUAUUAUAAAAAUAAGGAAAUUCAUGACAAUUUAUAUAGUGUUGAUAUUUGCAAUGUUGCCCUGGUUGAUGUCACCUUUUAUGCUUAUAACCAUUUUGUCUACCCAUGACUUCCUACAAUAUUUUUACAUUUCUUAAUUCUUGUUUUGUGGAGUUACCAGUUCAUUUAAAGAUUAUUUGGAUUUAUCUAGCUAUUUUUGAGCUUACUUGUUUUCUACUUGUACUUAAAGGCAGAUAAGCUAGAGGAGAAAAGAAGUAACAAAUUUGAUGCUGGAUUACUCAGUUAGGAUAGCAAUAACUCAUACCCCUAAAUUCCUUAGAUUGCCACAAUGAGCCUGAGUGCAAGAAUGUGGUCUGCAAUUCGCGGGUCAGGGAGUCAUCGUUGGCCUCAUUGACACAGGAAUAGAUCCAACCCACUCUAGCUUUGUAGACUAUCUAUCAACUGAUAGUUAUCCAGUACCUGCUCACUACUCUGGCAUUUGUGAGGUUACAAAUGAUUUUCCAUCGGUAUCCUGCAAUAGAAAGCUCGUGGGGGCUCACCAUUUUGUAGCAUAUGCAAUAACUAGAGGAGUCUUCAAUGCGUCUCAAGAUCUUUCAUCACCAUUUGAUACUGAUGGCCAUGAGCUGCUAUGAUGACCGGUUAUUCGGACGUCGCACUGCCUACACAGUCUCUUGGCCUCUUGUGUUCUUACCAUAGUGCUGGACUGCUGGUGACUGAUAAAGAGCGCUCUUUCCACAUUAUGUUCUUUCUAGUGGUGCUACCCCUGGUACUGGGGGACUGGGGAGGGCCUUUCCGACUUUCCGUAGUAUAUUCUUUCUAAUAAAGAGCGCUCUUUCCUGAGAAGUCUAUGUUGUUGCUGGAGUGCAAACCAGCAGGUGCUUCCAUGUUUGCUUCUUUGCAAAUCAAAAUAAGUCGCCCAUGUAUUUUACUUCUGAAAAUCUUAACCUAGAAUAAUUUUGACUUCUUUUUUACUUCUGAAAUCUGCACUGUACUGGUUUUACUUCUUUUUUUGGUUCCUCAUUUUUUUGCUCAUGAGGCUUGUUCAUUAGGUGUUAAUUAUACUACUAUUCUGAUUCCGAUAAGAACAUAUUGUAUCUGACUUAGAAUCACACAUAGAACUCAUUACACCCAUCUAUCUCUGAAAACAAAUAUCAUUUCUAAGUAUCCAAAUACACAAAAUAGGAGAUGCAGAAAUCACAUUUAGCAUACCAUUUCUUCUGUUGCUUAACCAAAAUUUUCCUAUAUGGUAAGGGAGGCCCAUAUUUGAGCUGCCGUCACACACUCAAAGAUCAUUACUGGUGGCUUUUCAGUAGCCUUAUGUUUGCACUUUGAAUUUCUGUUUUCUAGAUUCUUUUUAAUGGUUACCGUGUCUUUUAACAUGCCAAAACCAAUAUGAACUGCAAUAGAUAGCAUGAUAGACACAGGAAAAAAUAUCAAUAUAAAAAAGGAUAUUUUUUGCGCCUUCUGUAAGCUACAUUUUACUAGAUGGUAGUAUAAUUGAAAUUUGAAUAUUGUACAUCAAUCUAAAGUUUGUACACGAUGUUCAGUUCUAAAGUUUGUUUUGUGGAUCACAUAGUUAAAUUAUUGUUCUUUUUUUUUGCUUUAUUGUGAUUCAGAGUUGAAGUGAUAUACUACGAUUUGUGAUUCAGAAGAAGACAUACCACGAUUCAGAAGAAGACAACACAUUUCCUUCCGGCCCAUUUUGCAACCUGCAUGUAUUGAGGGAGCUUC